CUGAGUACGGCGGAACACGUGAAAUUCCGUCGGAAUCCGGGAGGACCAUCUCCCAAGGCUAAAUACUCCCUAGUGACCGAUAGUGAACCAGUACCGUGAGGGAAAGGUGAAAAGCACCCCGGAAGGGGAGUGAAACAGUUCCUGAAACCGUGUGCCUACAAGUAGUUAGAGCCCGUUAAUGGGUGAUAGCGUGCCUUUUGUAGAAUGAACCGGCGAGUUACGAUUUGUUGCAAGGUUAAGCGGAAAAAGCGGAGCCGUAGCGAAAGCGAGUCUGAAUAGGGCGCAUAAGUAACAGGUCGUAGACCCGAAACCAGGUGAUCUACCCAUGUCCAGGAUGAAGGUAAGGUAAUACUUACUGGAGGUCCGAACCCACGCACGUUGAAAAGUGCGGGGAUGAGGUGUGGGUAGCGGAGAAAUUCCAAUCGAACUUGGAGAUAGCUGGUUCUCUCCGAAAUAGCUUUAGGGCUAGCCUCGAGGUAAAGAGUCAUGGAGGUAGAGCACUGUUUGGACUAGGGGCCCUUCUCGGGUUACCGAAUUCAGAUAAACUCCGAAUGCCAUGUACUUAUACUCGGGAGUCAGACUGCGAGUGAUAAGAUCCGUAGUCGAAAGGGAAACAGCCCAGACCACCAGUUAAGGUCCCCAAAUAUAUGUUAAGUGGAAAAGGAUGUGGGGUUGCUUAGACAACCAGGAUGUUGGCUUAGAAGCAGCCACCAUUGAAAGAGUGCGUAAUAGCUCACUGGUCGAGUGACCCCGCGCCGAAAAUGUACCGGGGCUAAACAUAUUACCGAAACUGUGGAUGAACCUCUUUAGAGGUUCGUGGUAGGAGAGCGUUCUAAGGGCGGUGAAGUCAGACCGGAAGGACUGGUGGAGCGCUUAGAAGUGAGAAUGCCGGUAUGAGUAGCGAAAGAAGGGUGAGAAUCCCUUCCACCGAAUAUCUAAGGUUUCCUGAGGAAGGCUCGUCCGCUCAGGGUUAGUCGGGACCUAAGCCGAGGCCGAUAGGCGUAGGCGAUGGACAACAGGUAGAGAUUCCUGUACCAGUGCUAAUUGUUUAACCGAUGGGGUGACACAGAAGGAUAGGGAAUCGCACGAAUGGAAAUGUGCGUCCAAGCAGUGAGUGUGAGAAGUAGGCAAAUCCGCUUCUCGCGAAGCAUGAGCUGUGAUGGGGAAGGAAAUUAAGUACGGAAGUUCCUGAUUUCACGCUGUCAAGAAAAGCCUCUAGGAAGAGUAGUACUGCCCGUACCGCAAACCGACACAGGUAGAUGAGGAGAGAAUCCUAAGGUGAGCGAGAGAACUCUCGUUAAGGAACUCGGCAAAAUGACCCCGUAACUUCGGGAGAAGGGGUGCUCUAUUAGGGUGCAAGCCCGAGAGAGCCGCAGUGAAUAGGCCCAGGCGACUGUUUAGCAAAAACACAGGUCUCUGCAAAACCGUAAGGUGACGUAUAGGGGCUGACGCCUGCCCGGUGCUGGAAGGUUAAGAGGAGUGCUUAGCUUCGGCGAAGGUACGAAUUGAAGCCCCAGUAAACGGCGGCCGUAACUAUAACGGUCCUAAGGUAGCGAAAUUCCUUGUCGGGUAAGUUCCGACCCGCACGAAAGGCGCAACGAUCUGGGCACUGUCUCAACGAGAGACUCGGUGAAAUUAUAGUACCUGUGAAGAUGCAGGUUACCCGCGACAGGACGGAAAGACCCCGUGGAGCUUUACUGCAACCUGAUAUGGAAUGUUUGUACCGCUUGUACAGGAUAGGUAGGAGCCGAAGAGACGUGUGCGCUAGCAUACGAGGAGGCAAUGGUGGGAUACUACCCUGGCUGUAUGACCAUUCUAACCCGCCACGCUUAGCGCGUGGGGAGACAGUGUCAGGUGGGCAGUUUGACUGGGGCGGUCGCCUCCUAAAGAGUAACGGAGGCGCCCAAAGGUUCCCUCAGAAUGGAUGGAAAUCAUUCGCAGAGUGUAAAGGCACAAGGGAGCUUGACUGCGAGACUGACAAGUCGAGCAGGGACGAAAGUCGGGCUUAGUGAUCCGGUGGUUCCGCAUGGAAGGGCCAUCGCUCAACGGAUAAAAGCUACCCCGGGGAUAACAGGCUUAUCUCCCCCAAGAGUCCACAUCGACGGGGAGGUUUGGCACCUCGAUGUCGGCUCGUCGCAUCCUGGGGCUGUAGUCGGUCCCAAGGGUUGGGCUGUUCGCCCAUUAAAGCGGCACGCGAGCUGGGUUCAGAACGUCGUGAGACAGUUCGGUCCCUAUCCGUCGCGGGCGCAGGAAAUUUGAGAGGAGCUGUCCUUAGUACGAGAGGACCGGGAUGGACACACCGCUGGUGUACCAGUUGUUCCGCCAGGAGCAUCGCUGGGUAGCUAUGUGUGGCAGGGAUAAACGCUGAAAGCAUCUAAGCGUGAAGCCCCCCUCAAGAUGAGAUUUCCCAUUUCUUCGGAAAGUAAGAU
rnacentral:rRNA from 1 species